CUGAGCCAGGAUCAAACUCUACCGUACUUGUGUUUGAUCACGGCCCUGAGAUGUGAUGCCGAGCCCUUAUGGGUGAAGUGGGUAAUCCUAUGCUGUCGAGAAAAACCUCUAGCGAGCUACGCGCCGCCCGUACCCCAAACCGACUCAGGUGAUCAGGUAGAGAAUACUAAGGCGAUCGAGAGAACCAUGGUUAAGGAACUCGGCAAAAUGCCCCCGUAACUUCGGGAGAAGGGGGGCCGGAUACGUGAACCCACUUGCUGGGGGAAGCGUUGAAGGCCGCAGAGACCAGGCCCAAGCGACUGUUUACUAAAAACACAGGUCCGUGCGAAGUUGUAAGACGAUGUAUACGGACUGACUCCUGCCCGGUGCUGGAAGGUUAAGGGGACCGGUAAGACACUUCUGUGUCGAAGCUGAGAACUUAAGCCCCAGUAAACGGCGGUGGUAACUAUAACCAUCCUAAGGUAGCGAAAUUCCUUGUCGGGUAAGUUCCGACCUGCACGAAUGGAGUAACGACUUGGGCGCUGUCUCAACCAUGGACUCGGCGAAAUUGCAGUACGAGUAAAGAUGCUCGUUACGCGCGGCAGGACGGAAAGACCCCGGGACCUUUACUAUAGUUUGGUAUUGGUGUUUGGUUCGGCUUGUGUAGGAUAGGUGGGAGACUGUGAAGCAUUCACGCCAGUGAGUGUGGAGUCAACGUUGAAAUACCACUCUGGUCGUACUAGAUGUCUAACCUAGGACCAUUAUCUGGUUCAGGGACAGUGCCUGAUGGGUAGUUUAACUGGGGCGGUUGCCUCCUAAAAUGUAACGGAGGCGCUCAAAGGUUCCCUCAGCCUGGUUGGCAAUCAGGUGUUGAGUGUAAGUGCACAAGGGAGCUUGACUGUGAGACAGACAUGUCGAGCAGGGACGAAAGUCGGAACUAGUGAUCCGGCGUCGGCAUGUGGAAGCGACGUCGCUCAACGGAUAAAAGGUACCCCGGGGAUAACAGGCUGAUCUUCCCCAAGAGUCCAUAUCGACGGGAUGGUUUGGCACCUCGAUGUCGGCUCGUCGCAUCCUGGGGCUGGAGUAGGUCCCAAGGGUUGGGCUGUUCGCCCAUUAAAGCGGCACGCGAGCUGGGUUUAGAACGUCGUGAGACAGUUCGGUCCCUAUCCGCCGCGCGCGCAGGAAACUUGAGAAAGGCUGUCCCUAGUACGAGAGGACCGGGAGGACGAACCUCUGGUGUGCCAGUUGUCCCGCCAGGGGCACGGCUGGUUGGCUACGUUCGGAAGUGAUAACCGCUGAAUGCAUCUAAGCGGGAAGCACGUUUCAAGAUGAGGUUUCCCACCGGGUAACCGGGUAAGGCCCCCAGCAGAACACUGGGUUGAUAGGCCGGAGGUGUACAGCAGCAAUGCCUAGCUGACCGGUACUAAUAGGCCGAGGGCUUGUCUC
rnacentral:rRNA from 1 species